UAAACAAACUACAUCUGCCAGAUGCCUGCUUUACCUUUUUCAAUUAAAAUUCUGCUCCUAUUGUUGGAAGGUUAACUUUGAACUUACAAGGCUAUGUAGCUCACUAGGGUAUGAAGUUAGUUGCCUGUAAAUAUGCAUAAAUUAGCAUCAUUUAUCCCAUAUGGAGUUUCCAACAAGAACUAUGAGUGCCUCUCUAAAUAUCUGGAUGGAUCACCUUUUUUCCAAUACCAGAAGGAAAAUAUCAUUCAAGAAUGCUAAGAAUCUCAGGGGUUUACAUUUUUGAGAGAAAAAAAUAACUCAAUUUUGGCUACAGUUAAAAUACAGGAGGGAGUAGAGGAUUCUGCAUUCAUUCAUUAAAUAAUGGAAUCUCCAUUAAUUCACUCAAGAAACUUUAUGGCUUGCCUUGUACCUAUCUAACCUGUGCAUAGCCCUGAGGCAGGUGCUGAGAUAUAUCAGUGCCUGUCGCCAGAGAGCUCACAGGUGUCCCUGCACACCGGGCACCCACUGUCUGCCCUGACCAGCCUGCUGUGGGCAGGGGGACAUGCUAUGAGAUGAUCUCAUAAUCCUGGAGAUCUAUGACCCAUAAUUCACCCCCUUGUGUUAAGCAAGAACUUUUCCCAUGUGAGUGUUUAUAAAUUACAGUGUCUGGAAAGAUAACUUGACAAGUUAUCUUGACACACCUUAAAGCCAUACAUAGAAGCCAGGAUAGAUGAAGAAAAGGUGGACUGGGUUCUCUCUGCCCUUUCACAAAGGAAGUGACUCAAGAUACCUGAUAUACUCUCAACCCUCAGAAAAUGAACCUCUUUCCAUUCACUUGAUCCCACCAGUCACAAAGCACUGACUCUGUCAUGCACCAGAGGGGCAACAUGAAUAAGAAGUGUUUACACUCUGAAGGAGCCGACCCAACCAAAGUGAGAGAUUCAGACAUGGAACAGAACCCCAAGUCAUCAUGUAAAGAAGUCCAGGCUACCCUGAUAGAGAAGCCAAGAAGAGAGAAUCAAGAUGCCCCAGCCAAAAACCAGCACCAACAGGUUAAAAGGAACCCUCCACUGUCUUAAAGGUUGAAUGCAGCUACCUGAGUGAGUCUAGGCAAGACCAUCAGACCUGCUGGCCA